rnacentral:tRNA from 1 species
GGCCCCGUAGCUCAGGGGAUAGAGCAGAGGUUUCCUAAACCUUGUGUCGGCAGUUCGAUUCUGCCCGGGGCCACCA